GCCCCUACAGGUAACUCUGGAUUUGUCCGAAGGAUAAGCGAGGAUAACAUCCGGGGCUCUCCGGUUUCGUUCUCGUUUCCGUAUGGUAGGGACCGGUUUGGUAGUUUUUGUUCCUCUCGCUCAAGGAGCAACAGUGAUGCUGCUAUUCCAGAAGAGAAUUUAUUGUUCGAACUGACGGAAAUAAAGAAACUGAAAUCGGACGAGCGCGAUUUUAACAAGAAAGGUGUGGUUUGGACCAGUGAUGGUCGUCUGGUGAUUAUAAACUUUGGAAACGAUCAGCUGAAAGUGUUCAAUGAAAAUUUCCAAGAAACGAUAUCCAAAAAAAUUCCCGAGGGAUGUCGUAGUAUUUCUGUUGGUGCUGGAUUUAAUGACAUUGCAAUCACGUGUCAGAGGCGAGUUUAUAAUUACAAGGUGAAUGAAAAGACAAUUAACGAAAGCAAAUGUUUUGUAUUGAAUGGGAACGGAUAUGGCAUUUCCUUCGCCAAAGAACAUUAUGGUGUUACAAUUAACAUUGGCGGAGAUGGCAAAAGUGUUGCGUUACUUAACGAGGAUGGCAGAGUUGUUCAAGUGGUGGAAAAGAUUCAAAGGCCGAACGAGACCCAAUUCAAAGCAUUUCAUUUGUACCUGUCGCUGGACCCUAACAGAAAUGUCAUCUACCUGUCUGACGUACAUAGAGAUAUGCUGCUGUGUGUGUCGUUCACGGAAAAACUAUACUGGGAGAGUAAACUUCCCGGCAAGCCCCGGGGGAUCUGUGUGGUCGGCAACAACAUCAUUGUGGCCACCACCGACGGAAAGCUGUGUGUUCUGUCCAAGGACGGGAACAUCGUGAAAACUAUGCCAAGUUUAGGCUAUGACCCCGAAAGCUUGGCCUUUGAUGACGUCACUCAACGCCUAGCCGUCUCUCAAUAUUACAAGGGUUGGGUUCAUGUGUAUCAGCUUACGUAAAUUAGGUGAAAAUGACGCCCGCAUUUACGUUUAGAAUUACACCGACUAUAUAUAAUUGAUGACCUGAAAUGUUUCAGAUUGGAAGUUACUGUGUCAACAAAUGAAUUUAUGUUAUGAAUUUGUCUGAUAAUGACAUUAAAAAAUUCAGAAAUGUCGAUGUGAAAUUUGGUGCCGUAUCCAGAAUUUUUGGAAUUUAUUUUAAAUUUAUUUUUUAUUCUCCUGUAUUUUGAUCUAGAAGAAUUUAGGAGAGCGUCGAUAUUUUAUUAGUUAUUAUUUAGUUCUAGUUUUUAAAUAGUUCAACGAAAAAUACUCAAUAUAUUUGUACACGUGUCACAUGUCUAUAUUUGUACUCGUUUAAUAUGUGUAUGUAAAAUACACACUAAUAAAAUUGUUAUUCCUGUUGGUUAUUGGUAUAUGUAUUUUAUAAAAGUCUAUAAAAUU
rnacentral:sRNA from 1 species